rnacentral:lncRNA from 1 species
UGAAUUUGGAGAUUUUUUAGUUUCACUUCAAGAUUAAGUUAUGGUAAAGAAGACAUGGUACCAAAUCAUCACUUCUACUCCACAAGAUUCCUAAAAUAGUACUCCCUCAAAAGAAGUUAAUAAACCUAAAAGAAUUUAAGUAACAAAAUAUGAGACAUUCGCCAUUAAUGUUUAGUUUUUGGAAUGCAAGUUCAGAGCUAAUCCAAAUGAAGAUACAGCCAUAAUUAUUCCACCUCCAAGAAUGUAAUUAUUGUAUUAGAUUCAGAUGCAAUAUAUUUAUACAAUGUAACAAAUUACAUUAGUCACAUAGAAAGAGAAGAAAAUGUUAACUAUACAUAAAUUCCUUCGAGGAUAAAAGUAAAUUCGUAUUCCAAUUCUAGUGGCUUUAUGUACAGCAGCGCAACAAUGAGCAACAGAUGAUUUGAUGUCCAUGAUGAAUAAAAGGCUGUAUGACCAACUUUCCUACCAUUGAACUUGCGGAAAGUGUGUAAUCCACUCUCUGGACCAAACUAACGAUGAUCUCGCAAUAUUGCAAAAGCUACACACUACCCAUGUAAAGCAUCAAGUGAAAGUCCCCCGUCAACUGCACAGGAUUGAAAGAAACAGUUCAGAGAGCCAGAUUGCAGAUGGAUAUCGUAAGAAAAACAAGUGCAAUUCCAAUCUCAGGCACUUCACGUUAAAUGCGUGCAAGUGAUAAUAAUAGCAGCUAUAGAUGAUUCUCAGCCUAGCAGCAGUAAGGUACCAAAUAGCAGAAAAGAACAUGUACUUAACCAAGGCAUCAACUACGUACCCCGCGGUUUGAAAGCUUUUCAGAGAAGAAUUAUUUGUCUUUUAACUUAAAAAUUUACAAACCCAACUGAAUUCACAAUGUACUCCAUACAGCUUUUUAUCACAGGAUUAAGAUUGUCAAUUAGAUGAGAUUUGUAUGCCAACCAGGAACUUGAGAAAUUCAGUAUCCAACUGAAAGCAUUUAUCAUGCCUCCGAGAGCUCAUUCAGAAACUUUCAGCAGAGUCCCAGAAAUUUCAUAAAUAAGUUCAUCACAUUUCUUUAAGACAUGGGCAAUCAAAAUUUUCCCUAUAAAGUAUUUCCAGCACAAGCAGUUAGCACUAAAUUGAAGGAGGAGAUGGUGGUUGUAGGUGGUGAAAUAAUAGAACAAUGAUGAGAUAAUUGUGCCCCUAUAACAGUAGUUAAUUUACCCAUUUUACCCUUAAUUCCAUCACAAUUUGUAACGAGCUUUAUUGAUUGCACUUGAAUGACACAAAAUCAUAAAUUCAGGGAAAAGUACAGGGACUGCCGUUGUAAGUUAUCCUAACAGGAAAUAAAAGUAGAGAGGGGAAGAAAAUAGCACAGUUCUCCUUCCAAAGGAUUAAUUGCAUUGAACCAUCCUAGAGAUUAAAAUAGCUUCCAACCUAAACUAAACGCUAUCACCAAAGGAGAUCUCAUUAAGCUGAGUGAACAUCUUCCUUUAUCCUUAAAAACUAGUGACAACUUUUGUGCAGCAUUCUGGAAAAGCAACUCAAAUUUAGUCAUAUUGGUGAAUUUUUCCGAAAGCAAAGAAAAACCUAGGUUUUUUUUUUUUUUUUCCUUAUUGGGACAAUUCACCAGAAAAAUUGGGCAUUCUUUUCUCCCACCAUUUCCCAUUGAAAAGUCAUCACCAUCGCAGAUCGCACGAUAGAUUUUCAGUAAAUCAGCUUUUAGAUUUAUGCAGUGUUACAACUUAAAUGCAUUGACACAGGACAAACCUUCACAUAAAACUAAUGCAAAUGCAAAGAAAUUAAAGGCCAAGGAUUGCAACAGUAUAGUCGAACACCAACACAUGGAUCCACGUGCUCAUGUGGUGUGCCUUGUGAUGUUCUCCAUGCGCCUUGGUCCCACAUGUCAGCCUUUUUGUGGUGACACUUGGACCCAUGAGACGUUGCCCAAAAUGUCAGUUACAAACAAGCACAGGCUCACCAUGUUUAGUCUUCAAAGUCAUAAACAACACUUGGAUUCAUCAGCAUUUACUAAGACAUAAGCAAUUUGGCAACAGAGAUAGAAUGAUCCACUGACAGAUUCCAAGAGAAUCUCAAACCUUCAUCGGAAAAC